rnacentral:lncRNA from 1 species
AGCAUGCUGUCUAGGCUGCUUAGGCCUGCUCCAGGAGACAGAAUGUAGGGAACAGGCCCCAAGGCUAGAGCUGGGGUUCUCAAAACAUGAAGUUGAUGAAAAACGGAUGCUCAGGUCCUGGGAGGGGGGUUCUGUGCCAACACUCCCCAGGGAUGCCAGGGAUGCUGCAGACCGAGGGAAAGGAGACUUCCCAUCUCUUACCUGCCAGAUGGAGCAAGGCAAAGAUGGGGGACUCUGUCCCUGAUGGGCAGGAGGAGACAAUCUGACCUCUGUGAUUCUUGCUCUUUGUGAGAAGUGAAGAAAGGAUUUUCACAGAAAGGAACCUCCCCACAGAAGGAGCUCUGAAAGUGGAUGCUCCCUGAUUCUCUGCACAGCUUCUUCUAAUCGGAGUGGGCCACCUUUUGAGCAAGCAGCCAAGGCUGAGUGGAUGGGCUCCGGGCAAGGCCACUUGGUACCAUUCUACCCUGAUGUGCAUCCAUGCAUCCACCCUGAUGGCAUCCAUGCAUUCACCUUGAUGUGAUCCAUGCGUCCACCCUGAUGGCAUCCAUGCAUUCACCCUGAUGGCAUCCAUGCAUCCACCCUGAUGGCAUCUAUGCAUCCACCCUGAUGGCAUCCAUGCAUCCACCCUGAUGGCAUCUAUGCACUCCCUGAUGGCAUCCAUGCACUCUCUGAUGGCAUCCAUGGGAGUUCACACCAUGUGGCUGGCUGCCUAGUCACUCUGUUUUAUCACUGUAUGAAGGAAAGUCUUCAUGUUCCCAAUAUAAUAAUAAUAAUAAGUUCCUCCUGCCUCAGUCUCCCUCCUGCUGGAGUCAUAGGAGUGUACCAAAGUACUGGGCUGUUCAUUAGUAAACAGGGGCUGGGAAAAGUGAAGCAAUCUGCCU